rnacentral:rRNA from 1 species
AUGGAGGGCGGGGAGCUGGAGGUGGACGCGCUGGAGUACACGCCGACGUGGAUCGUUGCGGGGGUCUGCUCCCUCAUCGUGACCGUCUCCCUCGCCGCCGAGCGGUGCCUCCAUUACCUCGGCAAGACGCUCAAGAAGAAGCACCAGAAGGCGCUCUUCGAGGCUCUCCUCAAGGUGAAGGAAGAGCUGAUGCUUCUGGGCUUCAUCUCCCUGCUGAUGACGGUGUCCCAAGAUGUGAUCCAGAGGACGUGCAUUCCCCCUAGCUGGACCAACUACCUGCUGCCCUGCAAGAGGAUGGAGGAGCGUUCUGUCGUCGAUCUCGGCGGUCGCCGGCUGCUUCCUAAGAGCGUGCCGCGGUCCGACCAUUGCAAGAACAAGGGAAAAGUUCCUUUGCUGUCACUCGAAGCGUUACAUCAGUUGCACAUUUUCAUUUUUGUUCUGGCUAUCACCCAUGUGAUUUUCAGUGUUCUGACCAUGGUUUUAGGAGGAGCCAAGAUUCGCCAAUGGAGACACUGGGAGGCUGAAAUUCAUAAAAACGAUGCAGGAAACGGACCUAAGAAGUUGACCAACGUUCAACAAUUUGAAUUCAUCAGGGAACGUUUUAAUGGCGUUGGCCAGGAGUCUACGAUGUUGAGCUGGAUGCAUUCUUUUGUUAAGCAGUUUUACGCGUCGGUCACUAAAUCGGACUACGCGACCAUGCGACUCGGUUUCAUCAUGACGCAUUGCCGGGGGAACCUGAAAUUUGGCUUCCACAGAUACAUGGUGCGAGCCUUGGAGGCCGAUUUCAAGAAGGUGGUUGGCAUAAGGUGGUACCUGUGGAUAUUCGUGGUGAUAUUCAUGCUGCUGAACGUCAAUGGCUGGCACACCUACUUCUGGAUCUCCUUCCUUCCUCUCAUCCUCCUGCUGGCCGUGGGCACGAAGCUGGAGCACGUGAUAGCUCAGCUGGCGCACGACGUCGCGGAGAAGCACUCGGCGAUCGAGGGCGACCUGGUGGUGAACCCGUCCGACGAGUACUUCUGGUGCGGUAAACCCAGGGUGAUCCUCUACCUCAUCCACUUCAUCCUCUUCCAGAACGCCUUCGAGAUCGCGCUCUUCUUCUGGAUUCUCACCACCUACGGGUUCAACUCGUGCAUCAUGGACCACGUCCCCUUCAUCGUGCCGAGGCUCGUCAUCGGGGUGGUCAUCCAGCUGCUGUGCAGCUACAGCACCCUGCCGCUGUACGCGAUCGUGACACAGAUGGGGACCUUCUUCAAGAAGGAGAUCUUCGACGAUCACAUCCAGCAGGGGCUGGUGGGGUGGGCGCAGAAGGCCAGGAUGAGGGCAGAGUCAUCCAAGGAUGCUGCUGCCGCUGCCGCCGCCGGAACCACCAGGCACGGCGCCUCCUCCCGGCUGGAGAUGCUGCGGCGAGCCGCCGCCAUGAUGCAGUGCCGCCGCGCGCUGCCAAGGUAG